rnacentral:lncRNA from 1 species
CCCCCAGCAACUUUCAGGUGCUUGUUUUUUGGGGUUGGCAGCAUACAAAACUUUGAUCAAGCUGUCCACCAUGGUAACAAGGACGGUAAGUUGAACAUUUUUGCAGGAAACGGACGGUGGACAAAUGGUCUAGGGGGUCCUAAUGGUGAAGCCAGGGAAGGUAUGGUGUAUGGCAGCACAUAAAAUGGAUGGACAAGAUAUUGAAGGUUUUGAGUACCGCUGUCUCUUAUGGUGGGAUAGAAGUAUCUCAUGGCUAAAGGUGAAAGAAGGAAUCAGUUGCUACCUCCAACAAAAGGUAAGUGGAAGGGUAAUUCCAAAACUAUGGUUGAAAGAGGUUAUAAUGUGUCCUCCCGACAAUGUGGGGAUAAAUUCAAUGAUCUGAAUUGAAAGUAUACGAGGCCAAAUGAAUACUUGAAAGAAAAGCUUCAUCUGAGGUUGUUGCUAAACCAGCACGUGGAAUUGAUGAAAAUAGCUACUAAAGUCAAAAGAAGAGGUUAAGAGGAUUACCUUGUAAGCAUUUGUUUAAUUGAGAAAUGUGCUCAAAUUACUGUAAGAAUAAGAUAUCUGUUUCUUAUGACUAGACUCUCCAUGGUUCUCUUAUCUGCUCUUAAAGUUAAAGUGACACACAAGUCUUAAGUUGUGAUUCAGGGAAAAUAUCAUGGAGUUGCAGUCAGAGAGAUUUCGGAAAUUUUUUCAAUUGCGCUGGGUCAGAUCUUUCCCCGAAUGUGUGGAGAGAGAGAAGUAACUGAAUGCGGAUGAUAUCUUGCUCACUGCCUUUUGAAGAACAGAAGUUGCAAUACAAAUACAGAUGCUGAAGUACAUCCAGCAGAAAGAAGGAGUUGAAUAGGAUGAAGCUUGAGAAUGAGCAAUUGGCACUUGAACUUAAAUGCCUUGAAACGAGUGCUGCUCGCUACUGAUAUAUGUAUCAGGGUUCUGUGAGCCAGGUGCAUUCUCUGGAACUUUUGAGUUUUCUUAACUUUCCUUCUAUUUG